UGGCUUUGAGCUCGUCCACCCAUU
rnacentral:miRNA from 1 species